GACGAACGCUGGCGGCGUGCUUAACACAUGCAAGUCGAACGGAAAGGCCCUGCUUUUGUGGGGUGCUCGAGUGGCGAACGGGUGAGUAACACGUGAGUAACCUGCCCUUGACUUUGGGAUAACUUCAGGAAACUGGGGCUAAUACCGGAUAGGAGCUCCUGCUGCAUGGUGGGGGUUGGAAAGUUUCGGCGGUUGGGGAUGGACUCGCGGCUUAUCAGCUUGUUGGUGGGGUAGUGGCUUACCAAGGCUUUGACGGGUAGCCGGCCUGAGAGGGUGACCGGCAGCAUGGGGUCUGAGGGAGCGCCGGGCCGCCUUCGGGCGCCAGCCGGGGGGGCGCGUGUCGGCGGGGUGGGGGCCUGAUGCCGCCCCGCCGCGUGCGGGGGGUGGGCUGUCUGGGGGUAGCCAGGUAUCGCCGGUGACGAAGCGGCAGGCACGGGCGUGGGUAAAGAACCACCCACCAGCUACCUG
rnacentral:rRNA from 1 species